CACUUCUAAGGAAGGCAGCGGGCGCGCAAAUUACCCAAUCCUGACUCAGGGAGGUAGUGACAAGAAAUAACAAUAAACCGGCUUAUGCCGGUUUAAUUGGAAUGAGUACAAUUUAAACAUCUUAACGAGGAACAAUUGGAGGGCAAGUCUGGUGCCAGCAGCCGCGGUAAUUCCAGCUCCAAUAGCGUAUACUAAAGUUGUUGCAGUUAAAAAGCUCGUAGUUGGAUUUCUGUGGGGACGGAGCGGCCGGCCGCACAUCGCGGUUCGAGCUAGCGCUUUCCCUACAUCCUGCCGCGAACCGUGCUACCAUUAAUUUGGUGGCGCCGGGGAUCGGCUCGAUUACUUUGAGAAAAAUAGUGUGUUCAAAGCAGGCCACAUGCCUUGAAUAAGUUAGCAUGGAAUAAUAACUAAGGACUUCGGUUCUAUUUUGUUGGUGUUCGGGACUGAAGUAAUGAUUGAUAGGGACAGUUGGGGCGGUCUGUAUUCCAAAGCGAGAGGUGAAAUUCUUAGACCUUCGGAAGACAAACAGCUGCGAAAGCGUUCCGCAAGGAUGUUCCCUUUGAUCAAGAACGAAAGUUGGGGGAUCGAAGACGAUCAGAUACCGUCGUAGUCUCAACUAUAAACUAUACCAGCUAGGGAUCGGCCAACGUUAUUUUAUACCGACUUGGUCGGCACCUUAUGAGAAAUCAAAGCAUCUGGGUUCCGGGGGGAGUAUGGUCGCAAGGCUGAAACUUAAAGGAAUUGACGGAAGGGCACCACCAGCCGUGGAGCCUGUGGCUUAAUUUGACUCAACACGGGAAAACUUACCAGGUCCAGACAUAGUAAGGAUUGACAGAUUGAUAGCUCUUUCUUGAUUCUGUGGGUGGUGGUGCAUGGCCGUUCUUAGUUGGUGGAGUGAUUUGUCUGGUUAAUUCCGUUAACGAACGAGACCCCAGCCUGCUAAAUAGCGCGAGUGAGCUUUGCUCGCUGCGAGCUUCUUAGAGGGACUAUGAUGCGCGAUAGCACAUGGAAGUUUGGGGCAAUAACAGGUCUGUGAUGCCCUUAGAUGUUCUGGGCCGCACACGGGCUACACUGGCGCCUGCAACGAGCAUAUCAGCUGGCCCGAGAGGGUCUUGGCUAAUCUUUUGAACCGGCGCCGUGCUUGGGAUUGACCUUUGCAAUUGUUGGUCAUGCAACGAGGAAUGCCUUGUAAACGCGAGUCAUCAGCUCGCAUUGAAUACGUCCCUGCCCUUUGUACACACCGCCCGUCGCUCCUACCGAUGAAUGUUCCGAUGAAAUUUUCGGAGAGCACCUGUGAACUUGGCUCUGCCUUGCGAACGGGAGGCUCAAAGUCACUUAAAUCUGAACAUUUCGAG
rnacentral:rRNA from 1 species